rnacentral:rRNA from 1 species
UGUCCUACGGGAGGCAGCAGUGGGGAAUAUUGCACAAUGGGGGAAACCCUGAUGCAGCGACGCCGCGUGAGUGAAGAAGUAUUUCGGUAUGUAAAGCUCUAUCAGCAGGGAAGAAAAUGACGGUACCUGACUAAGAAGCCCCGGCUAACUACGUGCCAGCAGCCGCGGUAAUACGUAGGGGGCAAGCGUUAUCCGGAUUUACUGGGUGUAAAGGGAUCGUAGACGGUCAGACAAGUCAGAAGUGAAAGCCCAGGGCUCAAC